UAAGUAUACCGGAAGGUGUGCUUGGAACCGAAAUGUAGUAUAACAAAAACACCCUGCUUACACCAAGGCAAUGUCUGUGAAACCCAGAUCAUUUCGAGCUAAAACUCUAGCCCUACUACCUCAUCAGACUUCCACCUCAUUUAUUUUACUCAACUAAAACAUUCUAACAAUCAAGUAGAGGCGAUCGAAAAAUUCCUAGGAGCUAUAAAUCUAGUACCGCAAGGGAACAAUGAAAUAGAAAUGAAACAACACUAAAGCAAGUAAAAGUAAAGCUUAAACCUUGUACCUUUUGCAUCAUGGUCUAGCCAGUCUAAUCAAGCAAAACGCCCUACAGUUUGACUUCCCGAAACCAGGCGAGCUACUUCAAGGCACCUUUUUGAGCCCACCCGUCUCUGUGGCAAAAGAGUGGGGCGACCUUCAAGUAGGGGUGAUAGACCUACCGAGCCCGGUGAUAGCUGGUUGCCUAAGAAAAGGAUUUUAGUCCACCAUUAAACUUUCCCCGCAUUAUAACGCAAACCAUCAGUUUAAGAGCCAUUCAAAUAAGGUACAGCUUAUUUGAAACAGGAUACAACCUCAAUAAAAGGGUAAUCUUUUUCUACGGUGUAAGAGUCGGCUUAAAAGCAGCCAUCUUUACAAAAAGCGUCUAAGCUUAAACACCCCAAUCAUUUAAUACCCACAUACUUAAUGAACCCUUCUCCAAUAUUAUGCAAUUCUAUAAAACUAUAGAAAAACCUAUGCUAGAACUAGUAAUAAGAAGAUGACCUUCUCUUAAAUACAAGUGUAUGCCGGAACGGACACACCCCCGGUAAUUAACACCCCCUGAUCACCAAGUAGUAACCCCACAAGAAAACUCUACUUACAACAGCGUUAAUCUAACACAAGAGUAUUACAAGAAAGAUUAAAAGAAAAGGAAGGAACUCGGCAAACAUUAACCUCGCCUGUUUACCAAAAACAUCGCCUCUUGUAACCUAUAAGAGGUCUAGCCUGCCCAGUGACCCUGUUCAACGGCCGCGGUAUCCUGACCGUGCGAAGGUAGCGUAAUCACUUGUUCUUUAAAUAAGGACUGGUAUGAAUGGCAUCACGAGGGUUAUGCUGUCUCCCCUUUCUAAUCAAUGAAACUAAUCUCCCCGUGAAGAAGCGAGGAUAACACUAUAAGACGAGAAGACCCCAUGGAGCUUAAGACAAACAGCAUAUGCUAACAUCCCACCUAGCCAAGCAUUUUGACUAUUAGUCUUCGGUUGGGGCGACCAUGGAGAACAGCACAUCCUCCACGCUGAAAGAACCCCGUUCUUAACCACAAGCUACACCUUUAAGUACUAACACCUUAACAUCCAUUGACCCAAUAAUAUUGACCAACGAACCUAGUUACCCUGGGGAUAACAGCGCAAUCCAUUUCAAGAGCCCCUAUCGACAAAUGGGUUUACGACCUCGAUGUUGGAUCAGGGUAUCCUAGUGGUGCAGCCGCUACUAAAGGUUCGUUUGUUCAACGAUUAAAACCCU
rnacentral:rRNA from 1 species